rnacentral:rRNA from 1 species
AGUAACGCGUGAGGAACCUGCCUCAAAGAGGGGGACAACAGUUGGAAACGACUGCUAAUACCGCAUAAGCCCAUGGCUCGGCAUCGAGCAGAGGGAAAAGGAGCAAUCCGCUUUGAGAUGGCCUCGCGUCCGAUUAGCUAGUUGGUGAGGUAACGGCCCACCAAGGCGACGAUCGGUAGCCGGACUGAGAGGUUGAACGGCCACAUUGGGACUGAGACACGGCCCAG